ACGGGUGAGGAACACGUAGGAAUCUACCCUCAAGCGGGGGACAACCAAGGGAAACUUUGGCUAAUACCGCAUAAUCUCGAGAGAGCAAAGCUGCAGCAAUGUGGCACUUGAGGAGGAGCCUGCGUCCGAUUAGCUAGUUGGUAGGGUAAAAGCCUACCAAGGCGAUGAUCGGUAACUGGUCUGAGAGGACGACCAGUCACACUGGGACUGAGACACGGCCCAGACUCCUACGGGAGGCAGCAGUGGGGAAUAUUGGACAAUGGGGGCAACCCUGAUCCAGCGAUGCCGCGUGAGUGAAGAAGGCCUUCGGGUCGUAAAGCUCUUUAGGUUGGGAAGAAGGGUGCAGGAGGAAAUGCCUGUACUUUGACGGUACCGACAGAAUAAGCACCGGCAAACUCUGUGCCAGCAGCCGCGGUAAUACAGAGGGUGCGAGCGUUAAUCGGAGUUACUGGGCGUAAAGGGCGCGUAGGCGGUUGAGUGUGUGUGAUGUGAAAGCCCCGGGCUUAACCUGGGAAGUGCAUCGCAAACUACUUAACUUGAGUAUAUGAGAGGGUGGCGGAAUUUCCGGUGUAGCG
rnacentral:rRNA from 1 species